GACGAACGCUGGCGGCGUGCCUAGUACAUGCAAGUCGAACGCAUUUUCUUUCACCGUAGCUUGCUACACCGAAAGAAAAUGAGUGGCGAACGGGUGAGUAACACGUGGGUAACCUGCCCAUCAGCGGGGGAUAACACUUGGAAACAGGUGCUAAUACCGCAUAAUUCCAUUUACCGCAUGGUAGAUGGGUGAAAGGCGCUUUUGCGUCACUGAUGGAUGGACCCGCGGUGCAUUAGCUAGUUGGUGGGGUAACGGCCUACCAAGGCUGCGAUGCAUAGCCGACCUGAGAGGGUGAUCGGCCACACUGGGACUGAGACACGGCCCAGACUCCUACGGGAGGCAGCAGUAGGGAAUCUUCGGCAAUGGACGCAAGUCUGACCGAGCAACGCCGCGUGAGUGAAGAAGGUUUUCGGAUCGUAAAACUCUGUUGUUAGAGAAGAACAAGGAUGAGAGUGGAAAGUUCAUCCCUUGACGGUAUCUAACCAGAAAGCCACGGCUAACUACGUG
rnacentral:rRNA from 1 species